GCGAAAGUAGCUCAGUUGGUAGAGCACAACCUUGCCAAGGUUGGGGUCGCGGGUUCGAAUCCCGUCUUUCGCUCCA
rnacentral:tRNA from 1 species